rnacentral:tRNA from 1 species
GGAGAAAAAGUUAUAGAACUACGAGAAGCUUCUAACUUCCCUAAAGCGGUUCAACUCCGUUUUUUCCCA